UCGAGAAUCUUUCGCAAUGGGCGCAAGCCUGACGGAGCGACGCCGCGUGGACGAUGAAGGCCUUCGGGUUGUAAAGUCCUGUCACGGGGCAAGAACAAGUUCGGGUUAACACCCCGGAUCCUGACGUAACCCCGAGAGGAAGCUCUGGCUAAAUUCGUGCCAGCAGCCGCGGUAAUACGAAUGGAGCAAGCGUUAUUCGGAAUCACUGGGCAUUAAGGGCGCGUAGGCGGUCUUAUAAGUCGCGGGUGAAAGCCCACUGCUCAACGGUGGAAGUGCCUGCGAUACUGCAAGACUUGAGUGCGGGAGAGGAGAGCGGAAUUCCAGGUGGAGCGGUGAAAUGCGUAGAUAUCUGGAAGAACGCCGGUGGCGAAAGCGGCUCUCUGGUCCGUAACUGACGCUGAGGCGCGAAAGCUAGGGGAGCAAACAGGAUUAGAUACCCCCGUAGUCC
rnacentral:rRNA from 1 species